UUAGUCGGUCUCGGAGCAAACGAAGUGAAGCAUGUUAUUUAAUACGACAAUACGCGUAUAACCUUACCAGACCUUGCAUAUCUAGCUCUCUCUAUUUUUUUAAUUUGAGUGAGUAUAUUUUUAAUCUUUUUUGAAAAUAAUACGCAGAUACAGGUGUUGCAUGGCUGUCGUC
rnacentral:rRNA from 1 species